rnacentral:rRNA from 1 species
AUGCAAGUCGAACGCUGAAGCUUGGUGCUUGCACUGGGUGGAUGAGUGGCGAACGGGUGAGUAAUACGUGAGUAACCUGCCCUUGACUCUGGGAUAAGCCUGGGAAACUGGGUCUAAUACUGGAUACGACGGCGCAUCGCAUGGUGUGUUGUGGAAAGGGUUUUACUGGUUUUGGAUGGGCUCACGGCCUAUCAGCUUGUUGGUGGGGUAAUGGCUCACCAAGGCGACGACGGGUAGCCGGCCUGAGAGGGUGACCGGCCACACUGGGACUGAGACACGGCCCAGACUCCUACGGGAGGCAGCAGUGGGGAAUAUUGCACAAUGGGCGGAAGCCUGAUGCAGCGACGCCGCGUGAGGGAUGACGGCCUUCGGGUUGUAAACCUCUUUCAGCACGGAAGAAGCGAGAGUGACGGUACGUGCAGAAGAAGCGCCGGCUAACUACGUGCCAGCAGCCGCGGUAAUACGUAGGGCGCAAGCGUUGUCCGGAAUUAUUGGGCGUAAAGAGCUCGUAGGCGGUUUGUCGCGUCUGCUGUGAAAGCCCGGGGCUUAACCCCGGGUGUGCAGUGGGUACGGGCAGACUUGAGUGCAGUAGGGGAGACUGGAAUUCCUGGUGUAGCGGUGAAAUGCGCAGAUAUCAGGAGGAACACCGAUGGCGAAGGCAGGUCUCUGGGCUGUUACUGACGCUGAGGAGCGAAAGCAUGGGGAGCGAACAGGAUUAGAUACCCUGGUAGUCCAUGCCGUAAACGUUGGGCACUAG